rnacentral:rRNA from 1 species
GACGAACGCUGGCGGCGUGCUUAACACAUGCAAGUCGAACGGUGAAGGGAUCAGCUUGCUGGUUCUGGAUGAGUGGCGAACGGGUGAGUAACACGUGAGUAACCUGCCCCCUUCUUCUGGAUAACCGCAUGAAAGUGUGGCUAAUACGGGAUAUUCUGGGUCUGUCGCAUGAUGGGUCUGGGAAAGAUAUUGUUUCGGUGGGGGAUGGGCUCGCGGCCUAUCAGCUUGUUGGUGGGGUGAUGGCCUACCAAGGCGGUGACGGGUAGCCGGCCUGGGAGGGUGGACGGUCACACUGGGACUGAGACACGGCCCAGACUCCUACGGGAGGCAGCAGUGGGGAAGAUUGCACAAUGGGCGCAAGCCUGAUGCAGCGACGCCGCGUGAGGGAUGGAGGCCUUCGGGUUGUAAACCUCUUUCGCCAGUGAAGCAGGCCUGCUCCGUGUGGGUGGGUUGACGGUAGCUGGAUAAGAAGCGCCGGCUAACUACGUG